CUGCUAGAUGUCUCUGCAAUUCUUCUCUCACUGUCUCUAGGAGUCUAGCUCUAUAGGCUACAAGAUCUGGUUGCCUCUGACGCGAUGCAGGUUGUUGACUUCUUCUACAAUGCUACAAUGUUAUAAGAAUACACAACUAAAAAGGAGGAUAUGCACCCCUACAACGGCUACUAAAUAGAUGUACCUGUGUCUAUUACUGUACUGAUUGAGCUCGAGAUUGAGGUUCCUUGUCACACUACUUGAGAAUAUGUACAUAUAUAAAUUGGAAUGCUUAUGCCAUCAACGAUUUCAACCCAUCAUGACCAGAAGGUAUUUUACAAUAAUAAUUAUUGUCGUUUACAUUGGUUGGUCGCAUCGUGGACACACCUAUACUUUAGAAUUUGGCAGGUAAGCAAUCAUUCAUAAUAAUUAUAAAAACUUUGUUUGUGUUUUGCUUUAGUUAAGUUACUGGCUGUGGACAUGGCUGGUCUGUGACAGUACAAACAGUCAAACAAAAAAUGUAUAAUGUGACAGAGGACAUGGCUGGUCUGUGGACAGUACGAACAGUCGA